CUGGCGACUGUUUAUCAAAAACACAGCUCCCUGCGAACUCGUAAGAGGAUGUAUAGGGGGUGACACUUGACCAAUGCCAGAAGGUCAAAUAACGGCGGUGCUAUGGUCGCAAGAUUGUAGUGCUGACUGUUAUAAGCCCUGGUGAAUGUCGGCGAUAACUAUAGCGGUGAAAAUACAAUACCGGUGAAGAUGCCGGUUACCUGCAGCUAGACGAAAAGACCCCGGAAGCUUUACUGCAACUUGGUAUUGCCUGUAUGUUUUUGCUGCGUAGCGUAGAUGGUAGACUUUGAAGCUGGGAUCUCGGUUCUAGUGGAGUCAACAAUGAAACACCAUUCUUUAAAAAUAUACAUGCUAACCUUACCAUUGUGAUUUUCCAGCGUCCUUCGGGGAAGCUGGUGAGAGACCGUACCUGGCGGGCAGUUUUAGUGGGGCGCUACCCUAAAGAGUAACGAAGGGGUCCAUCAAGGUCAGCUAGGCGCGAAUGGAAACCGUGCCGAUAGUGCAAUGGCAUAAGCUGGCCUCACUGUAAGACGUAAGUGUCAAGCAGACGCGAAAGCGGGGCAUAGUGAACCGACCAUACGCAUUAGAUGCGGUGGAAGAUUAUCUGCUAAAAGCUACUCCGGGGAUAACAGGCUAGUUCCGCCUAAGAGUCAACAUAUCGACGGCGGAGUUCGGCACCUCGAGGUCGGCUCAACACAUCCCGGGGCUGUAGAAGGUCCCAAGGGUUUGGCUGUUCGCCAAUUAAAGUGUUACGUGAGCUGGGUAAACGGAUGUGAGCC
rnacentral:rRNA from 1 species